AUUGAACGCUGGCGGCAGGCCUAACACAUGCAAGUCGAGCGGAUAAGGGGAGCUUGCUCCUGGAUUCAGCGGCGGACGGGUGAGUAAUGCCUAGGAAUCUGCCUGGUAGUGGGGGAUAACGUCCGGAAACGGGCGCUAAUACCGCAUACUUCCUGAGGGGGAAAGUGGGGGAUCUUCGGACCUCACGCUAUCAGAUGAGCCUAGGUCGGAUUAGCUAGUUGGUGGGGUAAAGGCCUACCAAGGCGACGAUCCGUAACUGGUCUGAGAGGAUGAUCAGUCACCUUGGAACUGAACCACGGUCAAGACUCCUACGGGAGGGAGCAGUGGGGAACAGUGGACAAUGGGGGAAAGUCUGACACAGCCAGGCGGAGUGUGUGAAGAAGGUCUUGGGAUUGUAAAGAAGGUUAUGUGGGGAGAAAGGGCAGUAAGCUGAGACGUUGCUGUUGUGACGGUAACAAGAGAAGAAGCACCGGCUAACUACGUG
rnacentral:rRNA from 1 species